rnacentral:sRNA from 1 species
ACCGCUUGCCACUAUGGCAAUAGGAGUUGAAAUAAAAAACAAAACUAGUUCUCUCAUAUAUAAAGUUCAUAAGUUGACAAAUCAAUAUGAGUUCUAAAAUUUUAAUCGCGCAUAUGUCACAUCUUUGCUAGAGAUUGUUACAAAGUCCAUAUAAAAAACAAUGCGUGUUGUGCUGGUGGUCCACAUAUAUAUGAAAAAUGUACCAUAUGAAAUUGAUUUAAUUCUAGGGUAUUUUGCUGCCAACAAUAUGGCUGGUGGGGCUGCAUGUAAUUAACAAAAAAAAAAACACUUACCAAGAAUGCGCAUUUAAUACCAAAACAGGCUGCUAGUUAAUUGCUCAUAUAAGGCAAUGGUAUUACGUUACGUUCAUGGGAACAUAGAAUAAGUUCUAUGUGUGUUUACAUUAGACUGGUCUUUGGUCAAUUAUGAGGUGAAGAAUCCAUGAAGUAAACUUUACUUAAUAUAAUCGACAAUAAAUGUACCCCCAAAUAUAAACAAA